AACUGCUAAUUAGAUUGCGCGGUGCAUAUUUUUAUAUUGUUAAUACUAAAAAAAAAAAUUAUAGCAUCAUGAAGAGAUCCAUCAACUUACUAAUGAGAUAGUCUUAAAGUUAAAAUUAAGCAUGACUAUGAAGACAGUGGUUUGAGUCCCUAUUGACUCAACCACUUUCAAUUAAGUAUAAUUGUGUGGAGUUAAUUUAUAAGUUUUUUUUUUCUAAUGAAAUGCUAGUGGAGCAAAAUUAUUUUUCGUUUGUAAGAAUUAUUUGUCUGGAUAUUUACUUCAUAAAAUUUAAUGCAAUAAUAUAAAUUCUAGUAAUAUAUUUAAUUGUAAAUAUUAAUAUAAUGAUAUGCUGUAAUAAUAAUUAUAAAUAUUUAUCUUAUAUAAUAAUAUGAUGUGUAAUUAAUAUUAAAAAAAAAACUUACUAAUGAGAUGCCGUAACGUGUUACAAAACCGCGCCUUGCGUCGAAUAAGUGACGAAAAUGUGAUCCAACCACAAGAGGGUACAAGACAAAGGGAAACCACCACGCAGGCGGCAGGCACCCACUUUAGUGGAGAAAAUUUAAUGUAGUCUAGAAGUUUCACUCACGUUAGCGGACAAACAAUCCAUAUACAUAUAGUACUUCGCUGUAUGUAUAAUUGACAGGAAAAAAAAUGGGAAAUUUACGAAAAUAACCAUAAAUAUUUUGUUAUUUUCCCAACUAACCUUCUCAACUUUUUUCUAUCAACAUUAGCCAAACACAAGCCUUUCUCCCCAAAUUACCCUUCUUUACAGAUCAAAAGCAACAAUCUUUCUCCCAUAUCGGCAAACCAAACGCAGCUUAAUCAUCAACCAACGUCGACGGCAAAAGACAACAGUAAAGGUGAAAUCCGAUCAUAAUCUAUCCGAAUCCAACACUAAUCGACAUCACUUAGUGGUAUGUGUUAUUUUCUGAACUUGCUUAACUGAGUCGUGGGUGAAUCUGACGACAGGCUGCCUGUCGCACCAAAAAUUUCUGCCUACAGGAGCGACAGGCUGC
rnacentral:lncRNA from 1 species